ACGGGAGAGUAACACGUGGGAACGUGCCCUUCAGUUCGGAACAACCCAGGGAAACUUGGGCUAAUACCGGAUACGCCCUUACGGGGAAAGAUUUAUCGCUGAAGGAUCGGCCCGCGUCUGAUUAGCUAGUUGGUGGGGUAAUGGCCCACCAAGGCGACGAUCAGUAGCUGGUCUGAGAGGAUGAUCAGCCUCACUGGGACUGAGACACGGCCCAGACUCCUACGGGAGGCAGCAGUGGGGAAUAUUGGACAAUGGGCGCAAGCCUGAUCCAGCCAUGCCGCGUGGGUGAUGAAGGCCCUAGGGUUGUAAAGCCCUUUCGGCGGGGAAGAUAAUGACGGUACCCGCAGAAGAAGCCCCGGCUAACUUCGUGCCAGCAGCCGCGGUAAUACGAAGGGGGCUAGCGUUGCUCGGAAUCACUGGGCGUAAAGCGCACGUAGGCGGCUUGUUAAGUCAGGGGUGAAAUCCUGGAGCUCAACUCCAGAACUGCCUUUGAUACUGGCAAGCUUGAGUUCGGGAGAGGUGAGUGGAACUGCGAGU
rnacentral:rRNA from 1 species